GGGCCCGCACAAGCGGUGGAGCAUGUGGUUUAAUUCGAUGAUACGCGAGGAACCUUACCAGGGCUUAAAUGUAGUGGGACAGGUCUAGAGAUAGACCCUUCUUCGGACUCAUUACAAGGUGCUGCAUGGUUGUCGUCAGCUCGUGCCGUGAGGUGUCAGGUUAAGUCCUAUAACGAGCGCAACCCCUAUCGUUAGUUGCCAGCGGGUAAUGCCGGGAACUCUAGCGGAACUGCCGGUGCAAACCGUGAGGAAGGUGGGGACGACGUCAAAUCAUCACGGCCCUUACGUCCUGGGCCACACACGUGCUACAAUGGCCGGUACAGAGAGCAGCCACUACGCGAGUAGGAGCGAAUCUUCAAAGCCGGUCUCAGUUCGGAUCGCAGUCUGCAACUCGACUGCGUGAAGCUGGAAUCGCUAGUAAUCG
rnacentral:rRNA from 1 species